UGCGCCUCCUGCAGCCAUGUUACGGCAGCAAAGUCCUUGAUUAUUAAACCAGAAUAAGGGGCUGGACACACCAAAACUUUUAAACGAGGCUGAAAACGCCUUGAGGACGCCGAAUGCCAGCUGUUUUUCAGCUGAGUGCCAGCUUUCUUCAGCUGAGCGCUUUGGUAGCAUUGAUACUUCAGCUGCGAGCCGGUUGGUUGCUGUGGUAAUGUCCCGCCCCUCCUCCACUGUGAUUGGGCGGCCGUGUGAGAACUGACAUUGACGAGCGGAGCUUUUCUCCCAAAGUUGAAUCUCUUUCAACUCUCGACGGUCAGCGCCGAGCGCGGAAAAACCGUCGAGCGCAAGUUUUCAGCGCGGAAAAAAACCGCUAGCUGCUGGCUUAUUUGAAAAACGCCGAGCUUCCAUUGGAAACAAUUUAAAACAUGCGCCGGCCGCGGGCGUAAAAGUUUUGGUGUACGCAACCCCUAAGAGUAUAGUUCCUAGCCAUAUCUGCCUAGAAAAUCACAACUUUUAAUUUUCUGUCGGCCUUAGUACACGAUGUAACUACAGAAGAGUCAAGUUUUAAAUAGGAAAAAUAUAGAAACUCUUUGGUUAUUUUUUUUACCGCAAUGCUAAUGGUCUAAUCAGAGUCAAUGGAUUGUGCUAAGCUAUACUAGCGCCAGACUUGGAGAUCAGUUGAAUGGAUUCCAAAAUGGUAAAAAUCUAAUGCUUAACCUAAGGGGAGCUGGAAAAUAAGCCUAUUUUCAAAAAAGUGGAGUGUCCCUUUAACGUUGAAUCAUUACUUGAAUUUUAAGUUGUAGAAGUAGUAUAUUUACAAUCAUGUGCAUUCAAUGUGCAUAGAUAACGUAUUCAAAAAAUGCUGGAAUCACAAGGUUAACAGCCUACAUUUUAUCUCCUUGAAUGUUUUUAAACGCGUGUCAUAGAUGGAAUUGACAUUUUUACUGUUGCUUUUUAUGUAAAUCAAUUGAGCACAUGAUGAUUGGGGUCCCUGGGUUAGUUCUGUUUAAUGGUAAAUUAAAUAUGAACGCUGACAGCAAAGGUUUACCUUACUGCCCUAUGUAAAUGAGUAAAAUACUAUGGAGUGCUUUUAAAACGAAGUGCCUUAGUGUGUCAUUAACGUAGCCUGUCAAAAUGAAAUUCACGCUUUAUACUCGGCUCCUAAAUAUAAGAGCAAUAUAUAAACAAAACACUAACACUGAAUACUAAAUUUAAAUCUCUUUUUAAUGCACAAACACCUUCCCCAUUUAUAACCCUAAUGAUAAAGUUUUGAGUAAAGACUCGGCUCAAACAUGUCCAUUAAGGCAGUUUAGGGAAUGUUAUUUAGAAACCCCAUAAAAGACCUGCUUCAGAGAGUGCUUUGCAUCUAUUGUCUCUGUGCUGUCUGCUAGACUCUGAUCCUCAAUAGGGGGUGCAAUCUGUUCCCACGGGAUUGAGUCAGUGUUCUAGAACACUUGGCUGUUGAUCUUCUUGACAUGAUUACAGUUGCGUUUAUUUUCUGGUGUCUGCUACAAGCACAUCCAAUGGAACGACUCUAACAGGACUAUUUUCAUGGUUUCCAAGUCUCAUUUUAAAACCUUGUAGAUGAACUAUGUGAGUUUUAGGGAGAGCCUUUAUAUUUGCUAGACAGGUGUAUGAUGCAUAAAAUGGAUAACACUACACCAGUUGAUUAUUUAGUUUCACUUGAAUUCACAUCUUAUGUAAGACCACUUAACGUUCCUCUUUUGAAUUAAAUUUACCACUGAUUUUUCUUUACUCACAAUCUUCUCUACUAAUUAUGUCCACAUAGGGUUAAUGUAGUUAUACAUUGUUAAACUGUACUUUCUUCCUCAACUAAAUUUUGCACCUGUUUGCCUCAGCGCUCAAGUCUGACCCAUUACUAGAUCUGCAUUACCAAAGCACAUGUUCUAAAAAUCUUUUCAUCUCAUCUGGCCAGAGCCAAGAGUUAGCCAACUAGGUCAGAAAUUUCAUGUCAGCACAGAACUUGAAUGUUUUUGUUACCAGAAAUACUGCCUUGUUUUCUAUUUAAGCCCAUUGGAAAUGGUAUAAUGAACCAUACUAUUUGUGACCCUGGACCACAAAACCAGUCAUAAGGGUCUUUUUUUAAGAUUUAUACAUCAUCUGAAAGCCGAAUAAAUAAGCUUUACAGUUGAUGUAUGUUUUGUUAGGAUAGGUCAAUAUUUGGUUGAAAUAAAGCUAUUUGAGGGUGCAAAACAAUAGGCUUUAUGCCCAGCUGCACUACUUCCUGAACUUCAGCCAGCUCCUUGUUUCCUGUCUGCCAUUAUUGGACAAACUGAUUAAUCCAGGUGUGCCUGACCUCAGUAGUCACAACAACAAUAAUCAGACACACCUGGAUUAAUCAGUUUGUUUGUAAAUCUAAAAUGCAAGCCAAACCAAAGCUCGGGUCUUAGGAGGUUAAAGGUGAAAUUUUUCCAUGUUAAAAUAUUAUAAUGCAUUUUUUCUUAUAUUAAAGUAUAAUUGUUUUUGUUCAGUUUGGUAGUCCGACUAAUGAAAUAUGAGAAGUUUAUUACAGUCUUUAUUUUUGCAAUUCUGUUACACAAAUGUGACCCUGGACCACAAAACCUGGUCUUGAGUAGCAUCGGUAUAUUUGUAGCAAAAGCCAAAAAUACAUUGUACGGGUCAAAUUUAUAGAUUUUGAAGUCAAAAAUCACUAGCAUAUUAAGUAACAAUCAUGUUUCAUAAAGAUAUUUUUUACAUUUUUGCAUCCUCAGAUUGCAGGUUUUCAAAUAGUUUUAUCUUGGCCAAAUACUGUCAUAUCCUAACAAACCAUACAUCAAUGGAAACUUAUUUACUUAUAAACUCAUGAUGUAUAAAUCUCAAUUUCAAAAAUGUACUCAUAUAAGAGGUUUUGUGGCUUAGGGUCACAAAUGGCAUAGAAAUAACACUUUUAGCAUGAUGUUAGCGUAGCACAGAAAUAAGUCACUCAGAUUUCUGUCAUAACAAACUGCUUUAAAAUCAUUGCUUUAUAAACUGACUAAAUCUAGCUAUACUAGCUAUCUAAAUUUCCCUUCUUGAAUAAAGAACGUUACCAUAACAGUCAUGUAUGGUGAUAUCCGGUGCUGCCAGCAACUUUUUACAACCACAAGUUGAGCUAAGGAAAUGUAUAAAGUCAUUUUGACCCUUUAUAUUAUGUUUGUUCAGUUUUUGUCUGUACACAAUAGCAACAUCAAGUGCCUCAAAAUGGCCUCAAAAUGUAUUAUAGUGUGUAGUUCUGGGAGGCAUUUUUGUGCAACAUGUGAUCUUUAAGAUCUGUUGAUGGUUUACUAAUAAUGCUUUUACAUUGUGAAUAUUGUUGAACGUCAAAUUUCAAACAAUGGCUGAAAUAAAGUGGACAAGUUUGAAAUGUAA